UUGCCCAUCUAAGACUAAUAAUGUCUUGGGUGACUAACACAGAAGGGUAGAGCAAUUUCUUUCUAAAACACAAAGCAAGUGCAUUGUCAUUGUUUUGGAUCCUGUCGUAAGAAACAUCU